GCGGUGUUAAUUUAGUGGUAGAAUAGCGCGUUGCCAACGCGCAGACCGGGGUUCGAUUCCCCGACACCGCA
rnacentral:tRNA from 4 species